rnacentral:lncRNA from 1 species
UCAAAUUCAUCUACACGACAUCUAACAAUUUCCUUUCGUCCAUUUACACUUGCAUCAUGUAUGAGUUGGAACACUUCUUUUCUACGGUUCAAAAUUGCAUGUGAAAAUAUGCCUCUUUUAUUUUUAUCAAUAGCCCAUAAGAGGUCAGGGUUAGCUUUCCUCAUUGCAUCUAUGAACUCAAUAUUUCCAUGCUUAGCUGCUUGUAACAUGGCAUCGUAUGCUGAAGCCUCUCUCAGUUCAGAUUCCUUAAAUUCUUGAAUUUUUUUGUACAAGCAAUUCAAUAUUUCAAGCACUAGACUGUGGGUCAUUUUCUGAUCGUAUAUUUCUUUUAUUACUGGUGAUCAUAGAAUUGGAGAGAGGGAAUUGAUUAGUGCUCAAGUCAAUAUAAGUUAAUUGAUACAACAACACUGUAGAAAUAUACUACUUUAUUUCAGCUAGUGCAACUUAGAUGAUAAAAGACCGUAAAAUACUUGAUAUGUUCGGGGGUAGAUUUAAACUUACAAAUCCCUACUACUCUGCAACUUAUUAGAUGGUGGUAGCACUUAAUUUUGGUAGCAUCGAACACUAGCUAGCACUUUACUUUGAGUUUUGACAAGCACCAAAUUGAAUUUGCCGAAAUCGGUUUUUUUCGGCAAUGAUUCAGUCCGACAACGAUAACCAUCGGAUCUUGACUGUACACUUAAAAAAACAUAUUUAAUCUUUAGCUUUAAAAAUACCAAACUUGAAUUUGGAUCGUCCAAUCAUGAUCAGACGACCACUAACGAGUCCUAACAACCACACUCCAUCGGCUUAUAACAAACACAUUGGAAGCAGAAGGUGCACUGAUAUUCCACAUUGUGUAUGAUAAGAUUUAGUAAAGUUACACACCAUGCGCGAUAUGAUUUGUCACGCACCAUAGCCAUCAUUAUCAAAACACACACUCUACUAUUCUUAUACUCCCUCCGUUCCAUUUUUUUUUUUAAUAUGUGUGAAAUUUACAAAUGACUAACUUAUUUUAGGACGGAAGGAGUACUAAAUUAUAACUAUUUAACUAAAAUUUCUAUAUGAAUAACUUCCUACUAAUAAAUAAGGGAAAAAAAUUGAAGACAAAAAGUUUUCAAUUUUGAUCGACUUACCAGACAACUUUAAUCUUACUAAAUCCUGAAAUGACAUGUGAAUAUGUAUAAGUAUCUGACCUGAAAAAGAAAGGCACCAAUAGUGAAAAAAAGAGAGAAUAGAUUAAAACAUAUGACAUGAAAAAACAUGAUGGCAAAAAGUGAAUGAAGCAAGACCAACACAACCUACCAAAGCGAUGUACUUUCGAAAUUUUCAAAAUAUUGAACAUCCAUCCAACAAUUGAACAAAAAAUUAAACGUAUUGACUACAUAAAUUCAAUAAAUUAUUUGUUAUCAAGUUAGAUAAGUCGUUCAAUCAAUUAUCAAUACCUGUGAAAGAUGUUUUGGUUUUGAGCUGUUUUUCCUGUGGAACAACGUUUGUUGCAAUCUUUCUUUCUGGUAAUCUCAAAACUGGAAACUAAAAUAGAUUAGUCUUGGCUCUCCAUUAACAUUAAAUACAAAAUAAAUAUUUCCAAUUGGUCUAUAGGAAACACUUAAGUAUAUUUUUCCAUACAUAAAUUUAUCUACCAAUAGUCAGAGUAUACAAAAAAGAUAAAACUUUAGAUCACUUGUAACACGAAGGACAUAAAAGGUAACAUUGAAAUUCGACAGAUGGUUUAGCUGUCAACAGUUUUCAUUUUGUAUUUAUGGUAAUAAUCAAUACACAGAUAAAACGAAUGAAUAAUGCUAUAUAUCCCGACACUUUUUUCCCGACAAAUUCACGAGCGUAUGAUACAACAUGACCAUCGCCUCUUUUUCUUUUUUUUCCAGAACAUUCACUUCAUGUAAAGGGAAGAUCUGACUGUGGAUAACAGUUCGGGAAGCUCUCGGGUUAAAAUGUUUCGCAUUAAAUAGCAGUACUCAAAACGAAUAUGGAGAGUGCUUCUUAUAGCGAAAGUUUUUCUCGCGAACUCAUCACAGGCAGUUAAUAUAUAUAUACACGCUUUAGCAUAUCACUCUUUUCUAUCCCACCAUUUGUUUACUCCACCAAAUGAAAAUCCAAGGACAAACACAGUUUGUGAUAACUUCAUGAUGCUAUACCUUUCGAAAAAUAGCAUUACUCAAAGAAUAUAGACUUACUUUUGUAAAUGAAUCGCCGUAUGAAUCCAUAUCUGCUGCCACUUGGGAACACAUGAGGCAUGCGUGCCAAUGCGUAUAAGGGUUGCACACCAUCUGAUUCAGUUUCAGAUUCGGAUUUGUGGGCAAGUGGCAAUUGCUGGAAUCGUUGGAGUAAACUCAAAGCCACAUCUAUUUGACAACAUGUCAGCAUUUCAUUAAAAAAUCAAUUAAAAUGAAUUAAACUUUAAUUUAAUCAAAGGCAUAUCACCACAUACCAAAUAUUUCUGCAUUGAUGCACCGUGUUAGAAGCAAAACACGGCUGUGAAAUUUUUUAUCGUCCAUGUCUUCCGACGUAUAAGUUUUAGCGAAAAGAUAACUAGUCAUAUCUUUGUGUCCCUUAGCAGCCGCAAGAAGAACAGGAAUUUCACCAUCAUUAUUCUUCAUAUAUAACAAGUCUUUUCGGAUGACUUGCCCUCCCUUCAUCUCUACCAAACACUUUGCAAUAUUGGUAUUUCCAGUCAACUCAGAAACAAGAGCUAGGGCUGUGUAACCACGAUUGUCUUUCAUUUUCACUAACUUAUCUUUCCCUUCCUUCACCAAAUUCUUCACAAUUUCUUCGUGACCAGCAAUCACUGCAACAUGAAGAAUAGUCCUUCCCGAAGAAGACAUAGAAAACAUAGAUGUUUCAUCAUUAUUCAUGAAUGCUUUUGCAUCUUUCCAAUUACCGCUCUCAAUAAAUCUAUGGAGCGAUCUAUGGUGAUGGAGACUAUCGUCUACCACACCUGCAAAUUAACAUAUGUUCUAAGCUACAAACAUUUAUAUAAGAUACUCAUAAUUAAAUGAAAAAGAUAUUUUGACACAUAAACUAAUGAAUUUAACAAAGACAUAGAUGAUUAACGGAGAUUGAGUAUGUUGUUAGUAAUAUUUAUUGGAUGGUUAUUGAAUAUAAUAUGUGUCCUAACUCAUUAAUCAUACAAUCAACAUAACUAAUCACAAUGUUAUUAACCUCGUUUUUUUAAGUGCAUAUUUGAACUCAAAUUAUGGUUAAAGAAUAUGUGUAUUUGAUUACAUGGAAAGUAAGUAUAUUUAAGCACAUUUUAGCUGGUUACCGGAUACACACACAUGGACAAAUUAAAUUAGUGGUUAAUGAAGUUUAAAUUUGUGUUUAAUUGUGUUCUCAGAAGAAUGACAUUCGUCAUCUAAAAGUUAGUUUUCUAAGGAUCGAUAAGUUAGUCCUAAUAUAAAAUUUUAAAGGUAAUAAUCCCACCGUUUUACUACCUCCGAUCCUAUUUAUAAGAGAAAUUUAGGUCAACAAAAGUGAAUGUAUUUGGACUGAAUUUUUAACUAGAUACAUCAACUUUUGUUGACCCAAAAUUCUCUUAUAAAUAGGACUGGAGGGAGUAUAAUAUUUGUCGUUCUUAGAGAAUAAUUUUGUUUCACUUUAUUUAUCACUUUCAAGUUUCAAUGCAACAUUAAUUAUAGGUUUAUCAAUAAUACUCUUACCUAUUCAUCAUAAAGAGAAAUAAUAGAACAAAAUAAUAUAUUAACAUAUAAUUUAAUGUUGCAUUGAACUAUAAUAAAUUGUUAAGAGUAUUAUAGAAAAACACAAUCCCUGUGAGCUUAGCUCAGUUGGUAGGGAUAUGACAUAUGAGGUUCGAACCCCGGACACUCCACUUCUCCACAAUUAAAUUGUGUGAGCUCUAGCCACUAGGCUACUUGACCAAAAAAAAAAAAACACAAAGAAUUUAUUAAAAAGUUACAAAAUUUAUUUGAUUGUUUGGUAUGUGUAAUUUUUUCAAAAGCAACAAAUAUUGUGAAAAGAAGGAGUAUUAAAAUAUACCCUCCGGUCACUAAUAUAAGCAAAAAUCAACAUUUUAGAUUCAUUCAAUUAAUGAUGUAUAUGGUCUUUAUUAUAGACCACAUAUAUCAUUUAAUGAAUGAAUAAAAAAUAUUGAUUUUUGCUUAUAAUAAUGACCGGAAAGAAAUAUGAAAAGAAAUUAUGACUUGAAAGUAUAAAUAUUUAACAUUUGGAGAAAUAGAAUGCACAAUUUUCUAUAUCAAAUUUCUAUCUCUACUAGACAAACGUGUGCCUGCUCUUAAGGCACUUGUUAUCAUUUCCAAAAUUUUAUUCACUCUCUCAAAAUAAUAGUGGUCUUGUUAUCAUUUCCAAAAUUUUAUUCACUCUCUCAAAAUAAUAGUGGUCUUGUUAUCAUUUCCAAAAUUUUAUUCACUCUCUCAAAAUAAUAGUGGUUUAAGGUUUGCGCACAAUGUUAAAGAAAAUGGUUAAUUGUGUUGAUUUUAAUGAUAAAAUUAAUAUUAUUUACUAAAAUAUUAUUAUUAAUUGUAGUUAGUGUAGUAGUUAAGUUAGAUGAAAUUUAAUAAAUAAGAGUAUACUAGUGGAAAAAAAUAAAUGCUACAUUAUUAUUUUAAAGUGACAAUUAUUUUGAGACAAAAACAAUAUGAAAGAAAAUCAUAUUGAGACGGAGGGAGUAAUAUGGUACCCAAGUUUAUCCAUUAAGUGUCACCCACAAUUUAUAUGCACACAUGAAACCUAAUACUCCCUCCUUUUCACACUACUUGUCAUUUUUGAAGAAAUUACAGAUACCAAGAAAUUAAAUUAAUUUUGUUAUUUUUGAUGAAAUUCUAUGUGUUUGUUCUAUAAUAUUUUUAAGGCUUAAUUGGACAUUUGGUCCCCUAAAUAAUUAUGAGUUUACAUUUUGGUCCCAUAAAUUGUAAAACUCAUAUUUUGGUCCCUUGGUUUUGCUCCCUCAGUCAAAUUGAUCCCAUCCGCUAGUUUUUUAAUGUUUAAAACUUUUGAUAUGAUAUUAGCCGUUUGAUUGCAUGUCCAUUAUACCUAUAGUGAGCCGUCGGCAUCUAAUUUUUCCAGCACUAUCAUCUUCUCUCUUCUUCUCCCUCUCACACUCACUUAUACAACAACACUAUCAUAUUGGCCGAAAUUUAGAGACAAAGUGGUGAUUGGGGGUAUUUCAAAUUCUCACCAAUUUAAAAAUAAGUUAAUGGUUAUUAAAAAGGAAGAAGAGAUAAAUUUAAUGGUGGUGGGUGGGGUUGCCAAAGGAGUCCGGACGGAGAAGUAAUGGUGGCUGAAAGUGGUGGUGUUUGCGAAGAUAAGAAGAGUUCACGAGAGUGAGUUGCAGGGCUUUGGAUUCAUGACCUCAUUUUUCUUUUUAUCAAUAAAUAAGGGUUGAUUAAAUAGAAAUGUUGUUGGCUUCAGAUUUGGAAUCAUAUGAGUUGUAGUGAAAAAUCAAUGGUUUUUUUCAUGGGUUUUUAGGUGGAAAUCGAAAAUGAGAAGAUGGAGUGAAUAAAUUAGUGUUGGUGAAGAUGAGAAGAUGGAUUUUUUUGGUACAGUGAAUGAAUGAGAAGAUGAGUUUUUAUGGGUUUUUUUAUGAAUGUUGAUGAAUUUGUUGUUGAUGAUGAUGAAGAGGAAUAAAGAAGAUGAAGAAAAAGUACAAAAAAUUAGGUAAUGAUGUUGCACCAUUAAAUAAAAUAAACAUGUGUAAUCCAAUGGUCCUCUUUUAAAAAAAAUAAUCUAACGGUUAAAAUUAAAAGACAUAUUAAGGUCUAUUGUGGACAAACAUUGUUUGUGUUCCACUUUAGACAUUUAAAGUUAAAGUUAACAGCUAAGGACCUUUUUGACUAACGGAGAAAAACAAGAGGGACCAAAAUGUUGAUUUUACGAGUUAUGAGACCAAAAUGUAAACUCAUAAUUAUUUAGGGGACCAAAUGUCCAAUUAAGCCUAUUUUUAACUAUUUAUUAUUUCAUUAUAUUAUUUCUCUUUAUCUACAAUAAAUAAGCAAGGGUAUCAUUGACAAACUAAUAAUUAAUGUUGUAUUGAAAUUUGAAAAUGACAAGUAAAGUAAAGUGAAACAAAUUUAUUCUUCAAACGUGAUAUGUGUUGUAAAAGAGUAGUAAUGAGUGUCUAGAGACAUCUGUCUUGCGAAAUAAUAGACACUUUUCAAUCUAUUUUCUUUAAUUAAUUUGAAUUACGUGUAAAUUUGGUUGAACACAUAUAAUUUUUUUUUUUUUUGGUACACAACACAUAUAAAUUUUAAAGUAAUGUAUUGUAAGAUGUAUGUGCGUUAAAGAAAGUGUGUUGCUAUUAUUGGUAGCAUUUUAAUUGGAAAAAACCUAGAUCCCACGUAUAAUAGGAUCAUGCUUGAAAAUAGUUUUAAAAAUUAACAUCUUACGUGACAAAUCAUUUUUGUGGAAUGCAAUAUCCUAAUUUUAUUUUCGAGUCAACAAAUUAUCAUUCGGUUAUAGAAAGGAAUUAUACAGAAGAACUUGAAAGUACUAGUUCAAAAAUAAUGGCAAUAUAGACAAAGCCAACAUAACUAACUAAUCGGCAAGAACACUUCUUUGAUGUCGACAAGACCACUCAGAAAUUCUUUCUUCAAUAUAGUAUAAGCGCAAAAACUUCGAAUAUGAAAUGAGUUGUGGCACCUUAUUUUCUUAUUUAACCAUAUGAUGGAGCCCAUUUAACCAUAUGACAAAACUAUCUACCAAAGUUGUCGAAAUUUGAUGUCAAAUGUGUAAAAAAACAUAACUCUAAAUAAAUGCAUAAAACAUUAGCUAUACAUAUAUUCCUUCAUUUUCUUUUCCCUGCUAAUGCGUGUUCUUUUAAAGAGCCUAAUUGGUUGAUUGUAGUAUCAAUAGUGUGUUUAGAAUUUUUCGUCCAACGUACUUUCUAACACGUGAUAGUGUGUAGUUUCUCCAUAACUCUUCGUAAAAGAUGGGUACGGUGUGACUGCAAACAUUUAUUAAAGGAAAAAUGCUCUUCUUCCAUAAAAAAAACACUCCUCCCAACUCGAUGGACGAAAAUACCCCUGUGUGAUUUAAGUCACGCUAGAUAUUUUCAGCGUGAGUUAAUUCAAGUAGAUUAUAAAUCCAGCGUGACUUAAGUCACGCAGAGUGCUGUUAUAACUCAUGCUAAAACAUAACAGUCACUUUUCAAAACUUCCCAAAACAUCACCAAAUGCGAUUUUUUCACCUUCAAGUGCGAAUUUUACAAAACUCAACCAAAUCAACAUCAAAUCACGCAAAUCAAUACGUAAGUGUUGCUUAUCCUAUUACUUAUUCUUUUUUUUGGGUUGAAAUUUUUUAUUUUUUGUAUGAAUUUUACAUUUUUAGGUUUUUAGAAAUUUGGUUUGCAUGUUAAUUUUUAGGAUUGUUAGUGAUGAAUUAGGUUAGGAAUUGUAGUUUAGAUGUUAUUUAGAAGGCUAAAAUAUGGUUUUAGUCCCUGCAAAUAUGCAUUGUUUUGGUUUUAGUCCCUGCGAAAAAAAAAUUUGUUUUUGAAAAUAGUCCUUGGCCCCACUUUUGUGAUAAUUUACGUGACACAUUUUAAAAGAACCAAUUUUGUAGUUUUUGGUCUCUGCAAAAUUUUUUGUUUUUAAAAAAGGUCCCUGCAAAAAUUUUUGUUUUUGAAAAUAGUCCCACCAGGGACUAUUUUUAAAAACAAAAUUUUGUAGGGACCAAAAACAUUUAUUUUUUACAGGGACUAAAACCAAAACGAGGCAUAUUUGCACGGACUAAAACCAUAUUUUAGCCUGUUUAGAAUGCAAUGUGGUAGUUUAGGGUUUAAAAUUUGUUAGAUUUUAAGUUGAUUGAAAGUUAGACUCUAGGAGUUUGGUAAAAUGUUUCAAUAAAAUUUUGUUUGUUUUUUGGAUUGUUAAUGAUGAAAUUAAUCAGAAAUUGGUUUGUUAUUUUUUAUUAUAGUUAGUUUGACUGCAAUGUGGUAGUUUACAAACUAAAUGACACUGCCGAAAUUUAACCGUUGUUGUAGAAUAGUUAGAAAUGACACAAUGUCCGUUGCUUUUUGAAAAUAUCGUGGACAUACGUCUCAGAGGCCUGACAGACUUAAGGGAGAGAGGCUCUCAGAUAUGUCCGAAUGGAUUAUGGCCGGCAAAGACAGGAUGUGUCGUCACUUGUCGGAGAGGGUUCUGAGGCAGUACGGCUACGUCCAAACCAUUCUCAGACCUCCUACGACGACUGUGGAGCUCGCGCUAUAGGAGGUGGUUAUGGCCUUCAUGGAGUUUGAUGUCCAUGUCAUUAGCCAGCAGGAAAGGGGUGAUCCGGUCCCAGAGGACGAGGUCUGGAAGCAUUCGGUGGGGUACAUCAAAUGGAUCUACCGUGUAUCCCAUCCUUUUAAGAUCGCCCAUGCGGCCGUUCCCGACUACAUAGCUCUUGUCCCUCCCUACGAGGAGGUUAUUGAUGAGCAGCAGUGGGCCAGACAGGCUCCUGACCCAUUCCAGAUCAUCCGGAAUAUCAUAGCCAUAGUAGACAGUGAUGCGGGGUUCCUAAUGUGUAUUCAAAUCCUAUCAUUGUCGGCUUUAUGGAGAGCAUCUGGGCCGAGUAUACAGUGCGGGAGGAGGUGGCGGCUCCGGGGAGGAUGAGUAGAAGUCAUAGUCCACAGGAGGAUUAAGGUCUUAUCUUAUGACAUUUGUAUAUUUGUAGUAUUUUUAUGACAUUUUGUCGGAUAUGGAUGUAAUAUAUUUACACUUGCGCUUUUGCGUUUUUAUGAUAUUUUGCGUAAUUUAAGGUUUUAUUAUGUGUAUUUUAAUUAUGAGUGAAUGAAUGAUUGAAUGAAUGCUUGAAUGAAUGAUGAAAAAAUGGAUGCAAUUAAAUGAAUGGAUGUUGAAUGAAUGAAGGAAUGAAGAAAAUUAGGGAAAAUUGAGUUUUUGCAUAUUCUGGUAUUUUGCAGAGACACAACGUGAUUUAACUCACAGAGUCACGCAUGAGUUAACUCAUGCUGGCUUAACACAUGCGUGAGUUAACUCAUACUGGAAUUAUUUUUUAAAGUUUGGUUGAGAGUGAGCAAAACUUGUCGGGAGAAGAACAUUUUUCUUAUUAAAGAGUGUGUUGAUAUUGUUAACGUUAUUCUGAGUAAAACUUAAGUCCAGCAUAUAAAAUAGAGAUAAUGCUUGAACUCUUUUCAAAAAAUGAUAUCAUUGACCUUAGAAAACAGUUUUGUGAAAUACAAUACAAAAUCCUAGGUUUAUUUUAUAGUCAACUACGUAUCAAUCCAUUAUAGAAAGGAAUUAUACGGAAGAAAUUGAAAUUAGAUUUUUUUUUUUUUUUUUACAAAAAAUUGAAAUUACUUGUUAAAAAAUAAUGACUAUGUUGUCAAACUCAAAGCCAAUGGAUAUGGGGUAAGGGUGUAGCCUGUUUGUUGAGCUGUUGUCAAAUCUUCAACAAGUGAGCGAAAAUAUGCGUGAAAAAGACGUUUAUGAUAAUUUAGAUAAAAAAAAAAGUGAUGAGCUCCAAAAGCCAACUUAACUUUGUUUUUAGAAAGAAAAAAAAAAAACAUACAAAUUCAAGUUUUUAGCAUAGUUCUAGAACAGUACAUUGGAGUUCGAACUAGUGCAUUGAAAUUCGAACUUAACUUUUAAGAUGAAUUUUAACCACUAGACUACUUAAAGGAAGAAAAAAAAUUAUGCUCGGUUCUAUCUUCUGAGUUUUUUUUUUUUUUUUGACAACAUUAUUUUCCAAGCUUCUAGGGAGUCAAAACACUUAAUUAAAUAAACUUGUGUUCAUUCUAGUAAUAAUCUUGUUAUUUUCAUUUUGUACUCCUUUCUUUCCACAUCUUUGUUAACUUCUUAUUUUUUAAACAUUAAUUAAAAAACCAUUUAAUUGGUAUAUGUAGCAUCAAAAUAAAUUUUUUAUAAAUCUUAUUUUGAUUUUUUUAAUGCAAAUAGCAUAAAUACUUUAAGGAUCGAAAAACAAAGAUCAAUUCCACAGUAGAUUUUUAAAACAGCCAUUGUUUUUUUUACCAAAAAGUAAGAUGGUAAAACUACCAAACAUUGAAACCAAACACAACUAGCAAAGAUGUGGAAUGAAUGUAAUAUAUAUUUAAUUUGUUUUCUUUCUUUGAAGCAUAAUGCUAAAUGAUCCCAAAGAAUUUGCUAAUUUAAAUUUUUUUUUGUGGUAAAUGUUAAUUUAAAAUUCAAAGUCAACCUUGACUUAUUUUAUGAUAUGAAAGAGAAAUUUUAAUACGUUAAUUUUAAAUCGUACUAUCAUCAUUUGUGGAUGAAAGAGAAAUUUUAAUAAUUUUUUAAACGUAGCCUCAUUUAUGGCUGGUUUAUCAUUAAAGAAUUUUUCAUAUGCAUGUGUUUUCACACUGAGAAAAUGUUAAGUUGUGUCAUUAUGAUACAAGAUAAUGAUUUAAAAUUAAAAAUAAAAUUAAUAAAUUUAAUGCUUUAUUGAAUAUAUAAAUUUUAAAGUUUUAAGAUUAUAAAUGUAUAAUUUUUAAAAUUAAACUUUUAUAUUCGACUUCUUAUCUUGUGCCUUUAGAAUACAAGUUAACGAGAUCCUUUACGAUAUUACUUUAUCUUUGGUCUUAUCUUAUUAUUUCUAAUUUUUGUCUUCGUUUUCACACUAUUACUAAUCAACUUUAAGUUGAAAAUAUAAAAUUAAAAUAAAGGGUGUCUAAUGGGAAUUGUGCUCGCGAUUUUCGGAUGUCAAACCAUUAAUUGAUUUGAAUCGUCGAUCUUUGAACUCUCGAUUUUUAUUCUUGGGAAGGGAAAAAAUGAGUAAAAACCCUUAUCGAGACUUUGGAUUCGGGGGUUGGUUACGCGAAGGGAAGGUGCUAGCAUCCUAAGCGUCUAUGGUAUUCCAUAGGAACCUCUUACCUAGAUUAUUUUGUGCUAAACUACUUGUUUAUUUGAAAAAAUAUUGCCUAACGUCUAAGUGAAAGAAUGGAGGGAGAAGAAGUAUGUUUUUGGUUAUUUUUAUUUGAUUUGGAAGGACGAGUCCUCUGCCUACGUACCCUUUUUGAGAAAUGGAUCAAAACCGACGUAGUUCCACUCAAGAAUUUCUUUGGUGGGUUAGGUUGAUUUUAAGAUUUUUUCGAAAAUGGGUUUUAAGAAGAGAAAGAGGCCUCAAGGCAUGAGAUAAAGAAAACAAGUGAGGUUGAUUGAUUUUAAAUUUUGAAAAUGAUUGAAGUUGAAUUAAAAUUGAUUGAGAAUUUGAUUAAGAAAAUAAAGGAAAAAAGUUAUUAAGAAAAAGAUUUUUGAAGUUUUGCAUAUUUGAUUUUUUUUGUGAAAAAUGAUUUUUUCUAAGCUAACGGUGAAAACUAACGUAACGUCGUAAAAAAUUAACAGAAAGCGGUAAAUAAAAAUGUGGUAGUGUCGGUGCAUGUGUCGGUGCUUGUGUUACCUACAUUAUUACAUCAAUUCCUAAAUACAACCCUAAGGCCUUUAUGCCAAAAUAAAAUGCAAGAAAUAAAAUUACAUCAAUUCCCUAUUUAUACAUACUAAGCCAAUGACAAGAUAAAAUGAUGAGAAAAUUAAAUAUGCAUGCUAUGAUUUAAGACAAAAAUUAAAUGGUUAGUAAUCACAAGAAAUAUUAGGAUGAAUGAGACAUAAGAAAUAAUAAGCAAGAAUGAAAAUAAUAAAAAAAUUUAAGAUCAUCAUAUAAGAAAUAAUAAAAAAAAACAAAUUAAAAGGAAAAAAAUAGGAUGGAUUUUUAACAAUUAUAGAAAAUUAAAAUAGUGAGAAAAACAUUUUUUGGAAUUUUUCUAAACAUAAAAUGUCAAAAAGAAAUAAAAAAACAGCAUUUAAAAAAUAAAAAUAAUAACAAAUGAAAAUAAUAAAACAUUGGUUCAGCAGGAUUAAUUCUGGACCAUUGGAUUAAAUCAAUGGUCCAGGUUCAACCCCUGGAUUCAUCAUGGCCAUAGGAUCUAAGAUCCAACAGUUGGACAAAGCAGAACAUGGAAUACUGCAAGCAAAGGACAUGCGUGUGAUUUAACAGAAUCAUCCCUGACCAUUAGAUUAAAAAAUCAAAUAGUCUAGAUCUGAAAGUAUACUAAGUAACACCAUAGAUUGCACAUACAUGACCGUUGGAUUAAAAAAAGAAAAGGAUCUAAAGGUUUAGAAAGAAAGGAGAAAGGAAUCAAAUGGACCGGUCCGGUUCAGAUGAACCAGACCGGUUCACACAUGCUUAUAAAAGGCAAUAGGGACCGGUUUUUUUCUAUUUUUCCUUUCCUCCCUCUCUCUAAAAAUUUCUAGUGAGAGAAGGUCUGCAAUUGCAGCCUUCUUCUCCGGUGGGACUGUGCAUUUUCCGGCGUGGUGGCCGCCGGCCAACAGGCGGCGCCGCCGCGCCGGAGUUACAAAACUCCUCCGUUUGAAUUUUUUUUUACGUUUUUAACAAUCCUUUUUCUUGUUUUGUAUGAAUCCUAACUUAGAUUUUUGAAAACAAGCUUCUACAAGCCUAGAUCUAACAAAGAACAUUCACAGAAAAUGAGCAAAAAACUACCUCUCUCUCUCUCUCUCCAGUCCGUAGCUCUCUCUCUCCGGUCCGGUUUUCUCCCUUUUGCUCCGGUUCGGCUUUCUCUCCCUUGAGCUCCGGUUCGGCUUUCUCUCCCUUGUUCCGGUUCGGUGCAAGCUCUUGUUGUUGUGGUUGCGUGAUGUAUUCGAAUUUGUGGGGUUUAUGUGUGAAAAAUGAUUCUGUAAAUCUUUGUGUUCAUCAUGUUCAUAUGAUUUUUUUUAUGAAUUUUGGGUGAUUUGAUCUGAAAUUGGAUGGAAGAGAAAAGGUUUUAGGGUUUGUUGAUUGUGAUUGUGAAUGAGUGCUGGUUGGAUCUGUGUGUACAGUGAUUUUUCUCUGACCCAUUUCCCAAUGAUUGACAGUGUUUUUAUAGUGACAAACUAGGGUUGGCUCUGGUACAAACAAAUGACCAAAAUGCCCCUGCAGCUGAGACUUGGAGAAAAAGAUUUGACCAAAAAGAUAAAUAGAUAAAUAAAAAAACAAAAUGAAUAAAAUAAAUAAAAAAAUAAUAAAAAAAAAUAAAAAGAAAAGAAAAGAAAGAAAGAGGUCACGUGAGUGACUUCUUUUUGUUUUUUCUAAAAAAAAUAAAAAUAAAAAAGAAUAAAUAAUAAUAAACAAACUAGCCUAAAAAGAAAAUAAAAAAGUCCCUUCGGAAUCUGACAUGAGGUACUUCAAAGUAUCCUCCCUGCCGAAAUUUCGAUUGAAAAGAUUAAUAAAAAAAACGCCUUUUAAAAUGCGAUUAGCCAUUUUAAAAUGACUUGUCUGUUAUGACUAAAAGGAUUAUAAAAUGCGUUUAUAAAAAUGCAAAUGGAGUGAUUUUAAAUGUUGUAAAAAAUGCAAGCGAGGACUUAAAUGCAAGAUGAAAGUUUUUAAAUGAUUAAUGACGAAAAACACGAGUUUUAAAAGGUAAAAAAACGAAUAAAAGAGAAUCUGAACUAUUAAAAAAUGUGGACAAAAAAGAUUUCAAAUGGUCCAAAUUUGGGGUAUGACAGAUGCCCCUAUUUAAGUUUCUUCGUCACGAAGGGUUUAAAAGGGGACCUUUUAAACCAAAGGGUCGAGGAGACUUAAAUAUAUAAAAAACGCCAAUUUUGGACCGUUUGAAAUGCCAGGGAUGUGAUGCUGAUGAAUGUGAUGAUAUGACUGAACAUGAUGCAAGUAUGAAUGUAAAGAUAAUGCAUAAAGACUGACUGGGGUUCAAUUGGAUAGGUAUCACUGGGGAAAGAACUGAUAAAUAAUGCUUAAAGUCGCCGUGAGAUAGCUUGAAACAACUAGAGUAUGAACGAUGAUGUUUAUUAACGUUGCUUCAAGAUAAGAUAAGGAUAUGAUUAGCCGACGAGUGGCAACAGUAAAGACAAGGAUAUGAUUAGCCGACGAGUGGCAACAGUAAAGACAAGGAUAUGAUUAGCCGACGAGUGGCAACAGUAAAGACAUGAUUAGCCGACGAGUGGCGGAAGUAAAGACAUGAUUUGCCGACGAGUGGCGCAAGUAAAGACAUGAUUGGCCGACGAAUGGCGAAAGUAAAGACAUGAUUGAGCCGACGAGUGGCGAAAGUAAAGACAUGAUUUAGCCGACGAGUGGCGAAAGUAAAGACAUGAUUAGCCGACAAGUGGCGGAAGUAAAGACAUGAUUAGCCGACAAGUGGCGGAAGUAAAGACAUGAUUUAGCCGACGAAUGGCGAAAGUAAAGACAUGAUUUAGCCGACGAAUGGCGAAAGUAAAGACAUGAUUAGCCGACGAGUGGCGGAAGUAAAGACAUGAUUAGCCGACAAGUGGCGGAAGUAAAGACAUGAUUUAGCCGACGAGUGGCGAAAGUAAAGACAUGAUUUAGCCGACCAGUGGCGAAAGUAAAGACAUGAUUGGCCGACGAGUGGCGAAAGUAAAGACAUGAUUUAGCCGACGAGUGGCGAAAGUAAAGACAUGAUUGGCCGACGAGUGGCGAAAGUAAAGACAUGAUUUAGCCGACGAGUGGCGAAAGUAAAGACAUGAUUGGCCGACGAGUGGCGAAAGUAAAGACAUGAUUGGCCGACGAGUGGCGAAAGUAAAGACAUGAUUGGCCGACGAGUGGCGAAAGUAAAGACAUGAUUGGCCGACGAGUGGCGAAAGUAAAGACAUGAUUUAGCCGACGAGUGGCGAAAGUAAAGACAUGAUUUAGCCGACGAGUGGCGAAAGUAAAGACGACGAGUGGCGAAAGUAAAGACAUGAUUUAGCCGACGAGUGGCGAAAGUAAAGACAUGAUUUAGCCGACGAGUGGCGAAAGUAAAGACAUGAUUGGCCGACGAGUGGCGAAAGUAAAGACAUGAUUUAGCCGACAAGUGGCGAAAGUAAAGACAUGAUUUAGCCUACGAGUGGCGAAAGUAAAGACAUGAUUGGCCGACAAGUGGCGAAAGUAAAGACAUGAUUUAGCCGACAAGUGGCGAAAGUAAAGACAUGAUUGGCCGACAAGUGGCGAAAGUAAAGACAUGAUUGGCCGACGAGUGGCGAAAGUAAAGACAUGAUUUAGCCGACGAGUGGCGAAAGUAAAGACAUGAUUGGCCGACAAGUGGCGAAAGUAAAGACAUGAUUUAGCCGACAAGUGGCGAAAGUAAAGACAUGAUUGGCCGACAAGUGGCGAAAGUAAAGACAUGAUGGACCGAUAGGGUUUGCUAACAUUGUGGGAUAGCGCACACACGGUAAAAAAUAAAGGCAAGACAGACCAUUGGCAUUUGCUAAAAGCAAAGCCUCCGGUGAAAGUAAAGACAAUGUAAAGCUUGGUAUCAGGGGAGUGACUUGAUAAAGAUAAAGUUGAGGGGAACAAGGAAUUUGUCUGAAGACAACGGGGAAUUGUAUAGACUGAUUACUGGUGAGACCUGCCCCUUUGGAACAUGUUUGAUUUGAUGACAUUUUGGAGUUAGACACACUGGGGGUGAUAUCUAAGGAUAUUGAAAUAAGUCAUUGGGUAAAAAUGCAACUAUGUAUGAAUGAUCUUUAUAUGCGUGCUAUGUAUGCAUGAAUGAAUGAGUAUGUAUGAGAUUUGUAUAACAAUGCAAUGGUAAGAUUGGUUGAGACCAGAUUGGGCAUGUCCACAAGGAGAAUAGUCCGGCAUCACUGUGCGAACGCUCGAAACUUUCAUUGGGGAUAAAGUCACUGGAGAUGCAAUCAAGCCACUGCUGGGGUAAGACCCAAUGGUCAAAAGCUGGGGUAGAAGUCGCCAUUCCACAAACACAAUGUCGUACUGUCUUGUCUGAAUAGUCAUUGCUUUUUGUAUAUAUUUUGAAAUCCCUAACUUUUGCCUGGAUCGUCCUUUCGGAUUUUGGAUCCACCGGGGAGGUAUUUUUUCGUGUGCCCCUAAUUUUUUGCCUGGACCGCCCUUUCGGGUUUUUGAUCCACCAGGGCGCUCAUUUUUUUGUUUUUUUUUUUUUUUUUUUUUUUUUUUUUUGCAAUGACUACUGCUUCUUCGUUGAACCUGUUAGUUUCGGACCAACUGUUGACACAUACUUCUGUAUUUUCAAACUGUUCGAUGGAGAACAUGUCGUUUGAAAUACUGAGGAAGCGAGGUAAAAUGGAUUUCCAAACUGUUCAAAGAAGAACGUGCCAUCUGAAAUAUUGUGGAUUGGUGACAUCUCUGGAUCAGCCACACUAGUGAUGACGCUUUGAAUGAGAUACAAUUGGAAUAAGACACUGGAUGGUAAUGCAAUUUAUGUAUAAAUGAUAUUUGUAUGCAUGUUAAAUGUGCAUGAAAGUUAUAUGCAUGUAUAUGUAUAUGAAUGAAUGUAUGAAUAUACGCAUGAAACUUGUAGGACCGUAUGACUGUAUCUAACAGGUGAAACUGACAAACAAGACUGGAUAGGUAAGAUAGGAGGUUGAAUGACAUCGCAGUACAAACACUCAGCAAUCUUCAUUGGAAAUAAAAUCACUGGCGAUGAAUCAAAUUAAUGUUGGGGUAAAGCACGAUAUCAAACCACUGGCAGGGGAAACAAACCAUUAAUCAGACCACUGAAGGGAGAAUGCCCCAUAAUCAAACCACUUGAAGGGAAAAUGACCCAUUAAUCAAACCACAAGCAGAAGUUGCCAUUAAUCAACCCACAUGCAGAAAUCGCCUUCAAUCAAACCACUAGAGAGGUACCAACCCAUGUUUUGGCAGAAGUCGCCAUACAUCAAACCAUAGGCAGAAGUUGCCAUUUGCAAACCAAUACCGAGUGCAUUCUUCCAUUUGACCCUCUUGCACUGUGAUGUCUCUGUCUCUUUUUUUUUAUUUCAUUUUUUUUUUUUUUUUUUUUUUUUAUAUUUUUUGAAUCCCUAACUUUUGCCUGGACCGCCCUUUCGGGUUUUCAAUCCACCGGGAACAUGUUCUUUUUGUUUGUAUGCCCCUAAUUUUUGCCUGGACCGUCCUUUCGGGUUUUCAGUCCACCGGGACGCUCAUUUUUGGCUUAAGCCGCCCUUUCGGGUUUUCGACUUAGCAAGCUUUUUACUUUUUUUUUUUUGACAGAGGUCAUCUCACAGCUUUUAGUCAUGCCAACCUUGCAGAGUUUAACUGUCCUUGAGACGGAUGUUGAUGUAUGUUUCACCUGCUCAUAAGUUCAAAGAAGAUGUACUUGUUGUUUAUGCUUUUCAAAAGACAUGAUAAAAGUUUUUUUUUUUUUUUUUUUUUUUUAAAAGAUUUUUUUUUGAAUUUUUUUGCUUUAGGUAUUAACAUCAAAAAUAGAAGAAAAAUUUGCAAACAGAAUAAAUGAGAAUUUUAAAUAAAUGGGCACAAGCUCAAGUUAAUGUAAAUGGAAUGGUGGCCUGCCAAGGCGUGGCUCCACAGAUUUUAAAAGUUUGGAAAAAUGGUAAUUAUAUGGAAAAGGUACGUUGAACACAAUAACCACUGUUUCCUCUACCAACUUUGAAUUCCACUGUUUUGAGUCUUUGAUUUGCAGACGCUUCAGAUCGGAAGCCCUUUAACAGCUAAGAUGCCCCAGAUGAAUCAUAUCUGAUUUGAUGCAAUUACCUUGCCAUGAGUCGGAGGUCUUUUGACGGCUGAAAUGCCCCAUAUGAGUCAUGUCCGACCAGAUGCAGUUACUUUGUCAUGAUCCUUAACUUUUGCAUAGAUCGCCCUUGCGGGUUUCAACCUAUCAGGAUAAUCAUUUUUUUUUUUUUUAUAUGUCUCUAACUUUUGCAUGGACCGCCCUUUCGGGUUUUCAGUCCAUCGAGACGCGCUCUUUUUUUGCCUAAGCCGCCUUUUCCGGUUUGCGACUUAUCGAGCUUUUUCAUUUUAACAAAGUAUUUCUUGACUGCAUCGGUAUACACAGGACAUACAAGUUUAACCUCAUGCUUUGUAUUAGGCAUUCAUUGCUCCUGGAGUUUGUUUAAAUCAGAUAGCAUAACUUUUGAGCACAAUGCCACUCUCUUGACAUUCAUGGGGACGAGCCUUCUCUUGUUGAAAACAUGCUUUUGAUACAAUUGUUCACGCCAUACGGCAAUAACACUUUUAAAUUCAAUCAAGCUUAGCUUUCAUUGGAACUCCCGUUGAUGGGACUUUGACCUUCAUGUGAGGCAUUGCCUUUAUGUUGUAUACUGAGGGAUGGAGGGGGGGUUGCCCCUGCUGAAGUGUUUACUUGAAGUACAAUAUCCUUGCAAGGAAAAUGGUGGCAUCUCGUGCCGGUCUUUGUACAUGAAAGUCCUCUUCUGGACAAUCUCUCUUGAUAUUUGCAGCUUCGACGGCCAAGAUGCCCCAGUAGGCGAGAAAUAUCAGUGGAAGCUUCUUCAUCAUCCUCUUCUUCAACCUCGGAUACAAGGAACUCAAAGUCGAGAGAGAGUACAUGGUUUAAGUGUUCAACGGGUUUAUUAAUGCAUGAUUUGAUUAUUGAUAUAAACAUUAUGAUUAUGCAGAUAUGUGGAAAUGAUUAAAGAAACAGUUUUUUUUUGUUUUUUGUAUUACCAUUUUUCCAGAAAAAGCACAAAAUAAAACAAAGUCGGGAUCAAGACGACCUUUCACUAAUGAUGAAAAUACAUAAAGCAAAAAUCCCUAAACAAAUUCACUCUCGCCUCGGGUGGGACGAAAGGAUUUUUUUGGAAAAACAUAAAGCAACAAACAAACAUAUUAAUUGAACAAAAGAGUAGUAGAAAUAAACAUCAACAAAUACCAAAUUGCAACUAAACACUCCACAUGCCACCACAAGGUCCAAAGAUCCGAUAGAGGAUUAACUUGCACAUUCAGAUCCAAACUCUUCGAAAGGUAUGAGAUCGUCUUCAAUCAGUUUCUGGACCGCAAUCUUCAAAGAAAAACAGCGCUCGACAUCAUGACCUUGUGCCCCUUGAUGGAAAACACAAAAGAGAUCAGGUCUCCAUCGAGCCGGCAAUAUUUUCGGUAUCGGAGGAGGUGGCCUGGUUUGGACAAGGUUCCUCUCAAGCAAAUAGGGAAGCAACUUUGCAUAUUUAAUUGGAAUUUGAUCAAAUUUUAUUCUUGGAGCCUGUAGUCGAGGUUGUUGUUGAUAUUGUUGAGAUUGGGACUGAUAACCCAGAUCUUGGACCGCGUUCAUGAUGGGCAUAACAGCAGAAACAGAGAGAGGAGCCAGAUAUUGUUGUUGGCUUGGUUGAAACUGGGGUUGAUAACCCGGAUCUUGAACAUUGGUGAUGGGUGUAACAGCAGCAACAGAGUGAGAAGCCAGAUGUUGUUGUUGAAGUAGCACUUUUAUAUCUGGGUCUUCAAUCAACUUCUGAACUUUUUCCUUCAAAGGAUAAUACUGCUUAGUGUCAUGAUCUCGUGCCCCUUGAUGGAAGGCACAAUUGCGGUCAGGACGAUACCCGGGAGGCAGCGUAUUUGGCACAUGAGGAGGUGACGGGGUUUGAACAAGGUUCGUCUUCAGCAAAAUGGGAAGCAAAUCCGCAUAUUUCACAGGAAACGGGUCACACUGCGAUGCUUUUUGGGCCUGAUUUUGAGGUAUAAGCGGUUGAGGAGACUGAUUUUGAGGGAUAAACCGCUGAGAACCCUGUUGUCGAGACCGUUUCAUGCAUAUUGGCUGACAUAGUGCCUAAGGCCUUUGUUGGACAAGCGGUGGAUCCUUUGUAGCCAUCAAUGAAGAUACAAGGCUAGUUAACUUCUCUACCUCAGCCCGAAGUGUUGUUAUUUCUCCACGAAGCUCGUGGACCUCUUGCUCAAGUUGAUCCAUCUUUUGUGUUUGCACGAGUGUCUGCAUAUAUGAGCCGAACUUGGAUGAAGACAUCUGACCACUUUACUAAUGAAUUGACCCUUUUAUGGAGAAGACACAGUGUGAGAUACAGACUAGAAACUAUGAAUGCAAAAUGAUGCAUGAUAUGCUUAUGCAAAAAUAGAUUUUUUUUUUAUUUAUUUUUUAUUUUUUAUUUUUUUUUGAAGGACUUGUUAAAGUGAAAUGUAAACAUGGCAGAGGAACAUGGUUUCAUUUGAAAAUUGUCAAGAUAUUUACAAUAGGUUUCUUUUUCCAAAGGUAAGAACGAAACCAAGGAAGAAGUUCUUUAACAUAAGCUAAAAGCUUAGUUAAGAUUUUGGAAGUUGUAUUUCUCGGUGUUCAUUCUUACAAGGUCCAUAUCCGUGAUGUUUACAAAAACUUGUCUAAGUCCUUCAAAAAAAUUUUUUUUGAUGGAAAAGGUUGUUUAUGAAUGAAUGCAUGUAUGCAUGGUUAUGCUAAGUGGAUAGAAUACAUGGUGAGGGUAAGUUCCACAACGUUGGAGUCAAUGGUAACAACGCCAUUUGGUAAGGACUAUGGUUUCAAAUGUACCUGUAUCACGGGUUCUACCAAGUUCCCAAAGUCUUUAACCACUUCCGAAUAUUUAUCGGGUGACAGGAGUACUCCCAUUCCAAUUAUAUUCGUCGGAAAGUCUCAUUUGGGUGUAGUAUCGCGUAUCAACUAAUUCAAGAGUACUCUCGAUUAGCCACCGCACUACGUCCUAAAAGGCCAAGAGGGGUUAAAGGUGACUAAAGGUCCUCAACUUCAAAGGUCACUUGAAAAUAGCAUGCCAAACAUGAGUACUCACGUUGACGACAUAUACUUCCAAGAUCCCUCCGUUGAGUGGGGUUAUCACAUGUGCCAAUACCGAAGAGUACUCUUGGCAUGGAACUAUGAUUAUACCGCCGUCCUAUCUUAAGUUUCCCUCAAGCUCGGGUGUAGAGCUUAUUUUCUCACCCCUCACGUAAUAAGGUAAACAUGUAAGCAAAUAUUUACAAGAUAUAAACAAAUAAUAAAGCACAAAAUAAAGAAAGUAAGGUGGGUUUAACCCGCAUAGGACCUAAGUGUCCCCAGUGAAGUCGCCAUUUCUGUGCUCGCGAUUUUCGGAUGUCAAACCAUUAAUUGAUUUGAAUCGUCGAUCUUUGAACUCUCGAUUUUUAUUCUUGGGAAGGGAAAAAAUGAGUAAAAACCCUUAUCGAGACUUUGGAUUCGGGGGUUGGUUACGCGAAGGGAAGGUGCUAGCAUCCUAAGCGUCUAUGGUAUUCCAUAGGAACCUCUUACCUAGAUUAUUUUGUGCUAAACUACUUGUUUAUUUGAAAAAAUAUUGCCUAACGUCUAAGUGAAAGAAUGGAGGGAGAAGAAGUAUGUUUUUGGUUAUUUUUAUUUGAUUUGGAAGGACGAGUCCUCUGCCUACGUACCCUUUUUGAGAAAGGGAUCAAAACCGACGUAGUUCCACUCAAGAAUUUCUUUGGUGGGUUAGGUUGAUUUUAAGAUUUUUUCGAAAAUGGGUUUUAAGAAGAGAAAGAGGCCUCAAGGCAUGAGAUAAAGAAAACAAGUGAGGUUGAUUGAUUUUAAAUUUUGAAAAUGAUUGAAGUUGAAUUAAAAUUGAUUGAGAAUUUGAUUAAGAAAAUAAAGGAAAAAAGUUAUUAAGAAAAAGAUUUUUGAAGUUUUGCAUAUUUGAUUUUUUUUGUGAAAAAUGAUUUUUUCUAAGCUAACGGUGAAAACUAACGUAACGUCGUAAAAAAUUAACGGAAAGCGGUAAAUAAAAAUGUGGUAGUGUCGGUGCAUGUGUCGGUGCUUGUGUUACCUACAUUAUUACAUCAAUUCCUAAAUACAACCCUAAGGCCUUUAUGCCAAAAUAAAAUGCAAGAAAUAAAAUUACAUCAAUUCCCUAUUUAUACAUACUAAGCCAAUGACAAGAUAAAAUGAUGAGAAAAUUAAAUAUGCAUGCUAUGAUUUAAGACAAAAAUUAAAUGGUUAGUAAUCACAAGAAAUAUUAGGAUGAAUGAGACAUAAGAAAUAAUAAGCAAGAAUGAAAAUAAUAAAAAAAUUUAAGAUCAUCAUAUAAGAAAUAAUAAAAAAAAACAAAUUAAAAGGAAAAAAAUAGGAUGGAUUUUUAACAAUUAUAGAAAAUUAAAAUAGUGAGAAAAACAUUUUUUGGAAUUUUUCUAAACAUAAAAUGUCAAAAAGAAAUAAAAAAACAGCAUUUAAAAAAUAAAAAUAAUAACAAAUGAAAAUAAUAAAACAUUGGCUCAGCAGGAUUAAUUCUGGACCAUUGGAUUAAAUCAAUGGUCCAGGUUCAACCCCUGGAUUCAUCAUGGCCAUAGGAUCUAAGAUCCAACAGUUGGACAAAGCAGAACAUGGAAUACUGCAAGCAAAGGACAUGCGUGUGAUUUAACAGAAUCAUCCCUGACCAUUAGAUUAAAAAAUCAAAUAGUCUAGAUCUGAAAGUAUACUAAGUAACACCAUAGAUUGCACAUACAUGACCGUUGGAUUAAAAAAAGAAAAGGAUCUAAAGGUUUAGAAAGAAAGGAGAAAGGAAUCAAAUGGACCGGUCCGGUUCAGAUGAACCAGACCGGUUCACACAUGCUUAUAAAAGGCAAUAGGGACCGGUUUUUUUCUAUUUUUCCUUUCCUCCCUCUCUCUAAAAAUUUCUAGUGAGAGAAGGUCUGCAAUUGCAGCCUUCUUCUCCGGUGGGACUGUGCAUUUUCCGGCGUGGUGGCCGCCGGCCAACAGGCGGCGCCGCCGCGCCGGAGUUACAAAACUCCUCCGUUUGAAUUUUUUUUUACGUUUUUAACAAUCCUUUUUCUUGUUUUGUAUGAAUCCUAACUUAGAUUUUUGAAAACAAGCUUCUACAAGCCUAGAUCUAACAAAGAACAUUCACAGAAAAUGAGCAAAAAACUACCUCUCUCUCUCUCUCUCCAGUCCGUAGCUCUCUCUCUCCGGUCCGGUUUUCUCCCUUUUGCUCCGGUUCGGCUUUCUCUCCCUUGAGCUCCGGUUCGGCUUUCUCUCCCUUGUUCCGGUUCGGUGCAAGCUCUUGUUGUUGUGGUUGCGUGAUGUAUUCGAAUUUGUGGGGUUUAUGUGUGAAAAAUGAUUCUGUAAAUCUUUGUGUUCAUCAUGUUCAUAUGAUUUUUUUUAUGAAUUUUGGGUGAUUUGAUCUGAAAUUGGAUGGAAGAGAAAAGGUUUUAGGGUUUGUUGAUUGUGAUUGUGAAUGAGUGCUGGUUGGAUCUGUGUGUACAGUGAUUUUUCUCUGACCCAUUUCCCAAUGAUUGACAGUGUUUUUAUAGUGACAAACUAGGGUUGGCUCUGGUACAAACAAAUGACCAAAAUGCCCCUGCAGCUGAGACUUGGAGAAAAAGAUUUGACCAAAAAGAUAAAUAGAUAAAUAAAAAAACAAAAUGAAUAAAAUAAAUAAAAAAAUAAUAAAAAAAAAUAAAAAGAAAAGAAAAGAAAGAAAGAGGUCACGUGAGUGACUUCUUUUUGUUUUUUCUAAAAAAAAUAAAAAUAAAAAAGAAUAAAUAAUAAUAAACAAACUAGCCUAAAAAGAAAAUAAAAAAGUCCCUUCGGAAUCUGACAUGAGGUACUUCAAAGUAUCCUCCCUGCCGAAAUUUCGAUUGAAAAGAUUAAUAAAAAAAACGCCUUUUAAAAUGCGAUUAGCCAUUUUAAAAUGACUUGUCUGUUAUGACUAAAAAGAUUAUAAAAUGCGUUUAUAAAAAUGCAAAUGGAGUGAUUUUAAAUGUUGUAAAAAAUGCAAGCGAGGACUUAAAUGCAAGAUGAAAGUUUUUAAAUGAUUAAUGACGAAAAACACGAGUUUUAAAAGGUAAAAAAACGAAUAAAAGAGAAUCUGAACUAUUAAAAAAUGUGGACAAAAAAGAUUUCAAAUGGUCCAAAUUUGGGGUAUGACAGGAAUGUGUUAUAAACAUUAGAAAGAGUUAAUAACAUAUUCGAAGGUCAUAAACUACACGGAUAUUUUAGAAUGGCCACAUAUGGUCAAAGACCAAAAUUAUAGUAUGUUGGCAAAGAUGGAAAUUUGUUACUCAUAAUAAAAUUGUAUGUACAAACAUGAUGUGAUACAAUAUUUUGGAAAUUAAAUACUAAUAUGUAAUAAUUGUUAACGUGUUAAUAUUAACAAGGUGGAAAUCAAAUUUAAUAUUACUUUUAUUACUUCACUCUUUAACUCUCUCAUUUCGGCCACGGAGCAACCUUAUCUCUUUUUCUUUUGGUUACGUUGUCUAGUGACUAGAUUUCACACAAUUUAAUUUUGGAGAAACGGAGUGUUCGGGAUUCAAACAGCGGCUCCUGCAUAUAAUAUGCAAUAUCCCUUUCAACUGAGUGUAAGUUCACGGGGAUGGAGCAACCUUAUCUCUAUCUGAUAAUACUUUGUAAAUAGCAUAAUUGUUCAAUUAUCUAUUUUAAAAACAAAUCCGUUGAUUAUAUAAAAAAAUAUAUCAUUAUGAAAUAAAAAAUUAAUCAAACAUCAAUUUAAUUUAUCAAUGUAUAAUGUUAACUAAUGCCCUAGACAUUAGUUAAAGAAACAAAUAUAGUAAGGAGAAUGCUAACUAGUGUCUUAAGGGCAAUGAUUAAAUAUUUAAAACAAGUAAGUUUUUAUGAAAAAUAUGUGUAAUCAUUACUUUAUCAAAAGUAACAUCUUAUAUUUUCAAGACAAAAUUUCUAUUUUUAGAUUCAUUAACCAUUGUCCUGAGAGCACUGGUUAGCAAUACUCGUAUAGUAAUAAUCUAUUGGAAUUUUUUUUAAGGAAUAAUGCAUUGAAACUUGUAUAGUCAACUUUAAAAGUGUGAAAAUGUUUAUCAAAAUGCAAUUAUUUUUUCUUUCUUUAAUUAGUGUUCAAAGACAUUAGUUAGCAUGACCAUUUUAUAAAUUGCCAACCUCUCUUGAAUUUAAUACCUAAAUUAUAUAAAUAUGAAGAAAAAAAAUGUUUCUGAAGUCUAUAAAAUAUGUCAAUUUAUAAGUAAGUACAUUUAUUGACAUAUUGGAGAUUAAAUUGACGGAUUUUUCAUGUACCUUGUUCAAUGUCGGAGUAGGCUUUCAAUUCUGAGCCGUAUGAUGCACUAAAAUAAUUCCAAGCAUCUUUAGCAGUAUGAAAAUCUCUAAUAUGUGCAAGAUUCUCUGAUCCACAUGCUAGUUGAAUAAUAUGCAAAGCCUUAGCAUUAUCCCUAUUCCAUGCUUCAACUUCUUCUUUAGAUCCCACACCUAUUGUAGAAACAGAACUCACAACUCCCCACAGAUCAUGCCCUGCAAGAUAGUUUCUCACCAAACAGCUCCAAUUAUCGUAGUUGUCUUUUGUUAGUGGUUCAAGAACUAUUCCACUUGCUGCAAUGCUUGACAUUUUUUCUGAUUCUGGAUGAUGAAAAUGAAACAACUUAGUAUAUUUUGGUCCCUUUCAAUUGGUGGACUCGUAAUUUUGAUCUACUAGAAAAUUUAUGGAUGAAUAUUCGAGUGUGUAUAGAGUGGUAAGUUUGGUUUGUGCAAAUGAUUACAAAGGGAGCAACUAAUAAUUAUUAUAGAGGAAAUGACAAAAAAAAAGUUAGAGAAAGCCAAGUACUUACAAUGCGCAGAUCUAACUUUAGAAAAACUUGCAGAUCAAAAUCGUACGAUACUCACGGGUAUUAUAUAUAUGUUGACUAUGAUCAUGCAAAAUUAUAGAUGUUAUAGACUAAUCUAUUAUAGAUUUUUCUGACUUGGAUACGGUUCAAUGACUUCAAUUAUGCGGUGAUGGAUUGGCAGUUUCAUGUUGUGUUUGAUCACAAACAUUUAUUUUUGAUCCGAUGGUCGACAAUAUCUCCCGUGUCACAAACUAAUUUUUGUGAAAUCUAAAUUUGAUAAUAAAAUAAAAUAAAAACUACUAUAGAUUUAAUCAAAACUACAAGCUUUGGACUUCUUGAUAAUUGUUUUUUUUUUUUUAAGAAAUCAAAAUGAAAAUAAAUAACACACCAAACAGCAAUGUCCAAGCAUAAGGUGUGCCUAGGAUACCACUAAAAAUACAAGAGUUUAAGGAACAACAAACAGAGGUUUACACUAGGUAGUCAACCCCAAACAAGCAAAAGGGUCGGACCACCAUCUCAGCGUACCAUAAACAAACACAGCCUUUUUAGCUUUCAGCCACCCCAAAGAUAACAAUUAAACAUUAUCUAACAAUUGAGGGACAAUAUUAAAAGAAUUAUUGAAAAGACGGUUGUUACGCUCACUCCACAAAACCCAAGCACACAACAGCCAAAUAAGCUGCAAGAAUGAUCUUUUUGCUUUACCAACACCUGCCAAAUGAGUAAACUGCACCAGAUGGUCUGUAAUGAUGUUAGGGUCCACUCCUGAAAAACCAAUCCAAUCACGCACCUGCUGCCACAAAGAUGCAAAUGUAGUACAAGAUAAAAAUAAAUGACCGGCUGUCUCCACGUGACCACAACCAGAAACACAUAAGAUAUCAUCCGCAGGGACAACACCAUGAAUCGCCAGAUUAGCUUUCGUUGGUAAUCGAUCUCGGAUAAGCCGCCACGCAAAAACUGAAACCUUCAAAGGAACCUGAGGUUGCCACACUAACUCAAAGGGUAAUCCCAUAUGAGAAUCAUCCCCAAUCGUCAACAAAUCAUAGGCACCUCUCACAGAGUACCCCUCUGCAGUAUCUGGAAGCCACUCCCAAAAAUCUGAAACAUUAGGAACCAAAGAGAUAUCAAAUAGUAACGCCCUACACUCCUCUAGUAAAAGCUCCUCCCAAGCCUACAAUCUACGCCUCCACCUCCACCCCUCCCCAUCCUGCUCCGUACCCAAAGAGAACAAAGAGUUUUGGUUGAACAAAGAUCAACAUAAAAAUUAGAUGGUAGGUUCCACUACAAAGGAGGGUCAGCCCAACAAAUUAAUUUAGAGGCCUAAAACAAUUUUUAUUGCGAGGUUUUUUACAAUUGAAAAAACUACACAAGCUUUUUAUAAUUUAAAAAAAAAAAAACAGUUUUGUAGUGAGGCCUUCACUUUUACCAACUCAACAUGUGAAAUAUUUAUUAAUAAAUUUUCAUGUUAUAUAUUUAUAAGUAAAUUAAAAUAUUUUGAGGUUUUUUUUGUACAUAACAUUUUUUAGGUCUAAAGUCCUUGUUUGGGCCACGUGGGGCCCUGCCACAAAGUGGAUCCAACCAUUAUAAGUUCCUACGUUCAAAUACCAUUUCAAUUGAGAAAAUUGCUUUUUUUACAAUGAAUAUUUUCAAUUGCUUUUUUUUUUUUGUACUGUCACGAGAAUUAGCGGCAGUUAACUACCGCUAGGUGUGAGCGGCUAUUAACUGCCGCAGGACACUUAGAAAAUUUUUCCAAACUUCAUUUGGCAGUGCUUCUGCCCAAUUUUUUUUUCUCAAUUUUUUUUUUGUUUGUUUAUGUUAUUAUAUGAUAUUAGAUACAUGUUUAUUAAUUAGUUUACAAAUUAUAUGUUGUUUAUUUAUAGAUACGGUUGAGAAUGCAGAUGAUGAUCCGGGUGAUCGAAAACCUAGUGUUGCCGAUUCCGUUAAGGUUGAAGCUCCUAUUAAGGUCGAAGCUUCCGUGAAGGUUGAAGCUUUCGUUAAAGCAGAGGCUUCAAGCGUCAAUUCCGAUGUGUGUGAACUUCGUGACAACUAAGUGGACACGGCUCAUUUAUUUUCGACACGAGAUACAUGGAAAGAUAAAGAGGAAUUGCUCGGUUGGGUCCGUCGACAAGCAAAUAGGGCUGGAUUUACGGUUAUCAUUAGAAGAUCUUGUGAAGGUAGAAAUGCUAUGUUAGAGUUGAUUUGUGAACGGAGCGGCGAACACAAAUUACCGAAGAGAAAAGUGAAGCAUGAAGCAACGGGAUCAAGAAAAUGUAGGUGGUUGUUCAAGGUGCGUGGAUAUGUCGUGAGGGAAAACAAUGCUUGGAAAUUGGCUAUUCUUAAUGGCGUUCACAACCAUGAGAUGGUGAGGUAUGUAGCUGGGAACCUUCUUGCCGGAAGAUUAAUGGAGGACGACAAGAAGAUUGUACAUGACUUGAUCGAUUUUUCAGUGAAACCAAAAAAUAUUUUCACAAAUUUGAAGAAGAAAAGGAAAGAGUCCAUGAAAAAUAUCAAGCAAGUCUACAAAGAACGUCAUAAAUUCAAAAAGGCAAAAAGGGGUGACUUGACGGAGAUGCAAUAUCUAAUCACAAAGUUGGAAGAGAAUGGAUAUGUUUAUUACGUAAGAGAAAAAAGGGAAAGUCAAACCGUUCAAGACAUAUUUUGGACUCAUCCAAAAUCGGUAAAGUUGUUUAACAAUUUUCCGACUGUUUUGAUAAUGGAUUCCACGUACAAAACCAACUUGUAUAGGAUGCUAUUGUUUGAAAUAGUUGGAGUCACCUUAACUUAUUUGACAUAUUCGGUUGGUUUUGCAUUUAUGACGUCGGAGAAGGAGGAUAACUUUACUUGGGCUUUGAAAAUGUUGCUUAAACUUCUUGGACCAAAUAGUGAUAUGCCUAAGGUGGUAGUGACCGACAGGGACACGGGUAUGAUGAAUGCCGUAGCAAAUGUUCUCCCCGGUAGUAGUGCAAUACUUUGUUAUUUCCAUGUUGGCAAAAAUGUUAGAUCAAAAAUCAUCACCGAUUGUAAAGUUAAACAAAAUAUUGUUGUGGUGGAUUGGCAAAAGAAGAUUGUCUACGAGGAGAAGCAUAGUAAGUUAGUUGAUACCAUAUUUGAUGCAUGAGAAAAAUUGGUUGAAUCUCCUACUCAAGAGUUAUAUGCGGGUAAUCUAGUGGAAUUCCAAGAUGCUUGUAAGGAUUAUCCAAAGUUUCUUCACUAUGUUGAAACUACCAUUUUGAAGCCUUUUAAGGACAAACUAGUGAGGGCAUGGACGGACCUUGUGUUACAUCUUGGGUGUAGUACCACAAAUAGAGUUGAAGAAGCUCAUGAUGUGGUGAAUGAAUAUUUGUCCACCUCCAAAGGUGAUUUGGGUACAUGUUGGCAAAAAAUAUAUGAGAUGUUGGCAAACCAAUUUGGGGAGAUACAAUCAUCGUUUGGUAGGAGUGUUACGAUCUUGGAACAUAGGUACAAAGAUGUCACUUUGUACUCCGGGUUGGGGGAUCACGUGUCUAGACAAGCCAUGAACUUUAUUUUUGUGGAAGAAGAGCGUGCUAGGAAAACCUUGUGCAUCGAGAAGAAAACUUGAGGUUGUGUUCAAAGGAUGUCGUAUGGCCUACCUUGUCCAUGCUUCAUUGCUAUGAAAAUCCGUCACAACAAGUCCAUUCGAUUGGAUGAGAUACACCCGCAUUGACAUAAGUUGUAUAUGGGUGAAGAAGAAAGUAAUGAAGAUUUUUUUUCUGUCGCGGAGGAGUGGCGUGGUAUCCAAAAACGUCUCGAAAGAGUUCCGUUCCAAAUGAAACUAGAAAUCAAAGAGGGUUUGCGGUUGUUAGCGUUUUCGGAGAGCACAAUUUUGUCACCACCUCCAAGAAAGGUGCCAACCAAAGGAGCUCCCAAAAAAAUCAAAACUACACGUAGGAUCCCAUCUUCGUGAGAGACUAUUGAUUCUCAACAUCCGAAAAGUCAAUCUUCCCCACGAAAAAAAUCUUCACAACCUAAAAGAAAAGAUGCUCGCAUUGGCAUUUCUCCGGUUCCGGUUCCUAAGCCUAGCUUGGUUUCAAGAAAUUAUGAUCCAUCGAAUCCUAUGAAUUACAUGCCAAAAUUCAUGAGACCAUACAUUGAGGGAAUUGUGGAUGUUAUUGGUGACGGACAUUGUGGGUUUAGGGCUAUAGCCGAAUCCGUGGGUUUGAUGGAAGAAAGUCAUGUUAUGGUGCGGAUAGCACUUAUUAAAGAGUUGAAAGAACAUAGGAGCAAAUACAUUGAGAUAUAUGCAAGCGAGCCCCGCUACAACUACAUCUUGGAUGGAUUGCAUCCUCCCAAAAAUCCUAUUAGUUUUGCACCUCCCGACAAAUGGUUGACAUUGCCGGAUAUGGGACACAUCGUUGCAUCAUGUUACAAUAGGCCGGUGUUAGAGACGACUACCCACUUAGACUAGAUCUCCGAGACUUUUUUCCCACUUAGAGGUCCCCCUCCGGUUAACCUGAAAAGCAACAUUAUUUUCCUUGGUCUAAUCCGAAAUCAUUUUUUCCUUCUUUCGUUGAAAGAUGGUUGCCCACUACCUUCAUCAUCCACGGAGUGGAGGCUUCACAGGAGUGAAGAGGCGGCAACAUGAGAGGAUGAAUUCUUGGAUCAACACGAUCGUUUCUGAACGCUCAUAGACAUAGAGCUAAAAGAGAGACCCCGAUUCCACCAAAGAAACCAACAAAUCAAACAAUCCUAUUAUGCUUGAUGACACUCCGGUUAAAGCAAACACCAAUUGUGAAGAUGUUCUGGAACAUUUAGAUGAUUUGCUUUUAUUAGAUGAAAUGCGACUCUUUUUGGUCGGUGUUAAUUCAUUUUUUGGUCGAUACGCGCCGACGUAUUUUUUUGGGAUAUAUAAUGUAAUGACCAAUUUUUUUGGGUGAUAUGUAACUAACCUUUAACUAAUUAUAUAUAUAUAUAUAUAUAUAUAUAUAUAUAUAUAUAUAUCAAUAUAUUUGAGUUUCGCAUUUAUUACAAAUUAAUGUACUUUACGUGUAAUGUGUUGCAUAUUGUGGAAAAUUUGACGAAUUUCAAACAAUUGUGAAACGUUAACGCAUUAUCGGUUUUGUGUAAUAUUACCGAAUAAUUGAUAAACUAUGAAAUGUUGAUGUUUGGGAUUGCUGGAUGUUGUUGUUUCAGUUUGAUUCAUGCGGAAUUGGCGUUUGAAAUUAUAGGUACAAACAGGCCAAAAUGGCUGGAAAAACCAUGGCAGACUGCACUAAUUCUGUUUACUGAUGUGAACGGCAGUUAAUUGCCGUUAGUGCCAGCGGGUGUUAACUGCCGGCGUAUUAUUGAACGAUUGUUAAUUGCCGCUAGAGGCAAUUAUGUCAUUUACUUGUGUCAUUGUGAAGUUUUCUAUGUCAGAAAAGCAAUUUUCUUCAAUUGAUAUGUUUAAAUGGGUUUGACCCACAAGGCUAACCGAUCAUACCUGUAUUUUAUUAUGAGUUGAGUUGUAAAAAAAGCAUGAAAAAAUGAUUUAUCUUUCUGAUCUAGCCCUCUAGUAUGUAUUUAACAUAGACUGGCCUGCCUGGAAAGUUCUUAUGUUGCAUCUUUUUUACAAAUCUUUAAAAUAAAAAAAAAUAAAAAAACAUAGGCUGGCCUGGGCCACUAAGCUUUCAGAUGCCACAUUAAAAAUAUAAAAAUAAUAAAUAAAUCUAACAUCUUAUUAGGAUAAAUGGGUCAAACUAAAAGAUGUGGUUUAUUUGAUGAAUGUUAAUUUAGGUGGUAUGCAUUGAUUUUCAUAUGAACAUAAUGUUGAAUAAAUCCUUGUCAAUCAAAAUUUUACAUGACAUAAAUAUUUGAAUAUAGUUUUGCAAAGAAUUAAUUUGUUUCAUUUAUCACUUUCGAUGUGUGUGAAAAAAGAGCAGCUUUGUUGUACAUUGCAUUUAUAUUUCUUGAAAAAAGAAUGUUAAUAAUAUUCAAACAUGGAUUGGAUUAACCCAUCAAACUAUAUAACCACUUAAUACUUAAGUCGAGCUCAAUUUUGACAACUUAUUUAGCAAACGAAGAUUGCUCUUUACAUCUAAAGAAUUGCUCUUCCAUUCCUCAAAAUCACCUAAAUAGCCUAUAACGACAGUAACCGACAUGUUAAAAAGUUAACGGCAGUUAACUGUCGUUAGGAGUAUUGAGAGUAAUUUUGAGGUGUGGGAGAUCAAUUCUUUAAGUGGGAAAACCAAUCUUCUUAGCAAACACGUUGACCCACUCAAGCUCAAUUAUAAGUGCGAACUCACCGAUUCGAGAUGGAGUGAGCUCAGGCCAACCUAUUUGACAAUUCUACUUUUCAGUAUGACAAAUCGAUCCCAAAUUGUCGCUCUCUAUAUUUGCUAUUUUCCCCUCUAUUUAGGUCGCCAUAAGGUUUUUCUUCCUUCUCUUCCCGCUCCUUCAUUUCAAAAACAUCAUAAAAAAAAAAAUCAUAAUUUUCAUUUUUCUCAAUAAGUAAAAUCUCAUUAAAACCAAUCCGAGCACAAGACGAGAGUCCAGAAGAGAGAUAAAAACAAAUAUCAUAUAAAUGAAAGAGAGCUAAUAGUGAUAUUUUUUUAGUUUAACGUUUGUACAAGAUCAUUCUUUUUAUUUUUUAGUCUCAAAUUGAUAUAUAUAUUUUUUUUGUGGUGUCUGGGGUUCGACUCCAAACCUUACAUAUAUUAUACAUUGUCAACUGAGUUAAGAUCACGAGAACAACAAAUUGAUAUUUUUGUUAGUUAUAAUUACACCUAAUUCUUUCAGUGAUAAACCAUAAACAUCAUUAUUCUCUUUUCAUCAAACUCAACUCCGUAUUAUUAAUUUUGUUUCUCUCAAAUCAUUGUUCAACUUCUGUAAGGUGAAGUGUCUCUAUCUAUCGUGAGAAUGUGAUGGAAAUAAUUAAAAAAGAAGUGGUGUUUAAUAUAUAUCCCUUUCACAAGUCUUCGCACUAAAUAGUGUGUAUAUACCAACAAAAAAAUGUUGGUUUUUCUACGAAGACCGUAAGGCCAACUGGCCAAGCCAAGUGUCAUGUUCCCAUGUUGGUUUCCUACUUGUUAAUUUUCCACAAUACUGACAAAAAAAGGAUCAUGAUAUACACAAGUCAUCGAUUAAAUAUUGAUUUCUUAAAAGAAAUAAAAAUAGAUUGAUAUUGAUUUUAUUCUUUUCACUGGAAAUAUCGAUAUUACAUUCAACAAAUAAAAAAAAUAGGGAAAGGGGAUUAUAUUUCAGUUUAAGGUAGAUAACAACAUAGCGUUCAAGGAACAUAGCUUUCUCUAAGAACACUAGCAUGGAUGGGAUGUGAAACCUCCAAAAAAAUAUCGAUCUUAUCCAAACUUGAUGAAAUGAAAAAAGUCACAUUCACUUGCUUUAAACAACCACGUGCUACAAUCAAUUUAUCUAUUCUUUUACGUUAAAUAUGAUUUUGUCAACGAAAAUUUGACAAUAAACCAUAAACUAAGAUUAUAGAAAUACAAGUCUGAAGUUUCUUCGGUCCAUAUAAAAUCUGUAUCACAAAAAGCAUAUUUACCUAAUUCUUUAUACAUUAAAUACUCCCUAACGUUUUUGAUAUAAGAAAAUGUUCAAAAAAAGUUUAGGUCAUAUUUGAAAAUGUUACAACUUUUAAAGUAUAAUUAUUGUUUAAAAGACUUUUAUACACCUCAUUUACUGAUUAUUAUUUUAUUAUUAGUGGAUGUAACUUUCUAUAAGGAUAUAUUUAUAAAAAUAUUUAAAAAGUUAAAUCAAUUAAUGAUUGUAUUGAUUUUGAUGUUUUUGUUUGCUUCUUAUAAUAAGGAUCAGAUGGAGUAAGAUAUAUUAACGAAAGUCUCACAAUAAAUCAAAAGUCAAGAGUGCAGAAAUACUAGGUGGAGUCUGUAUUUUCUCAAAGUUAAUCUUUCAACCUAAAUCAAAUAAACAUCACACCAAAAUGGAAAAUAAAAAACACACCGCAAAGAUGAUAAAUAAAAAAAAAUAAAGUCGUGCAAAGACGAUGAAAUCACAAAAACAAACUAUAGAAGACUCAAAAUAUGUGAAAAACACUUGUUUAACUAAUGAAGAAGGAAAAAUAAUUCGGAGGGAUGAUUUUGGAUCAAAAUUGACCUUAAAUCAUUUCUUUGGUAGAUAAAAAGUGGCGACAACUAGAGUUUAGGAAGGAAUGAAGCGAGAGUAGCGAGGACUAAUAGCACUCCAUUAAUGUUGUUACAUCCACUUUGCAUAACUAAAGUUUUUGCUAUCUCUAAAUCUAACCGUGAAAAGACUUACCAACAACUAUAAAAAAUAGCAUCAAUAUCAAAGCCAUUGUAUUAUGAUAUCAAGUUUUUUAAGUGUCGUUUUAGAAAAUUAAUACAAAAAUAGCGAAGUGUAUUUUAGCAUUUUUUUUCUUCCUAUUAUACCCUCAAUGUAAUCCACAAAUAUAUUCUUAUUUUUUGGCACAUACUUUAUCUUCUCAAUAAAUUUAAUAUGUUAUUUUUAUCUCAUAAAAAACAAUUGUCAAAUGAUCAAAUGAAUCUGCAACCAUUUCUCCAUCUUCACCUUCCAUAAACAAUUCCAAUGAGUCUCUCUUUCUUCAUUUUGAACAUUCAUGGAGUUUUCCAAAUAUACAACAUUAAUUAGUUUUAUUGAAAAAGAUAAGAGUAACCAAACAAAGAAAAAGAUAUGAUUAACUAACAAAAUAAUUGACAAAUCGUACCCUUAAAAUACGAAAACGACAGUUAAAUAAGAACAAAAAAUUCACCCUUAAACGACAAUUAAAAAGGAACGGAGAGAGUAUUUAUUUAUGACAUAUUAACAUUUUUCUUAAAAAAAAAUCAAAUAUAGUAACAAGUUCUUUUUUUCUACAAAGACCAUAAGGUCAACUGGCCAAACCUAAGUGUCAUGUUCCCAUGUUGGUUUCCUACUUGUUAAUUUUCCACAAUACUAACAAAAAAAAAAAAAUGUAAUUUUCUCCUACGAAGACCAUAAGGCCAACUGGCCAAGCCCAUGUGUCAUGUUUCCAUGUUGGUUUCCUACUUGUUAUUUUCCACAAUACUGACAAAAAAAAAAAUGAACGGAUUCUAUCAGCCAAAAUGCAAGUAUUGCAAGUUGCAACAUUUUAAAAUUAGUAGGUUCUCUUGUUUGACUUUGGUACCCAGCAGGAAAGUAGUUGAAACCAUCGAUUAAGCUUUGUUUCUAUAUUCUUAAUUAAUCUUCAUCAAUUAAUCAAUUAGUAAGCAAUAAAUCAUCAUCUAUUGUUGUAUAUUAAAUCAUAAUCUAUUGUUGUAUAUUAUUAUUGAUUAAAUUAAAAGAGUUGAAACCAAUCAAUUAAACUUUAGUGUGGUUAAUGAACUUCACAAAAAUAUGAAUAGUUUGGUAGAACUCGAGUUUUAUUGUUAAGUUGAAGAAUUCAUCUUACGGUCGAACUUCAGAUUAGGAGGGUACUUAAGAUAAUGAAAUUGAAAAAUUUAGUGAUUAAUACAGAUAAUAGUGAGCAAUAGUCUUCUUCCACUUAUCCGUCCAUUUUUGUUGAAAAUAUUCACACACAAAACACAAGAUCAAUGGACGUAGCACAAAAGAAAAAAUCAAUGGACGUAGCCAUGCUUUCCCAUUCCAUCUCCAACAUCCUACAAUGGAUGAACUCCCUAAAACCCCUUGCAAAUAAGCUAUCAAGAAUUGACAUCAAGCAGCUUGAAAAAGAUAUUAAGCAGAUCAAUGACAAAGUCCAAACACACCACUCCGACAGCCUUCUUUUUCCUCAACCUUGGCUUCAAAAGGUUAAAGAAGUACUCAUCGAUUUGAAUGAUUUGAUGGAGGAUCUCCGACAAAAGGAGAGUACAAGUGUUGGCUUAAAAGUAAAGGAUCGUUUCAAAGCCACGCUCCAAGUGAAGAAAGCCACAGACGAACUCAAACGCUUGCUGAAUGAGGAAGCCACAGACGAACUCAAACGCUUGCUGAACGAGGAAGAUGCAAAGGGAGCAGCAGCAGCAGCAGUUGAUACAGAUGAUAGAAGAAAGUUUGCAUACGAUGACUUUGUAGCUGUUGGAAGAGAAAAUGAGAAGAAAGAAAUUAUAGAUCAACUGCUGAACCUGAAGAGCGCCGAUACGGAUGCUGCUGUUCCUGUUUUUAUUGCUAUUGUUGGUGUUACUGGAAUUGGGAAAACAAAACUUGCUCAUCUCGUUUGUGAGGACGAGCAAGUCAAAGCGAAUUUUGAAUUCGAACAAAUUUCGAUGAAUGGUCUCAUGGGCGAAACCUUGGAUGUUGAAUCCUCACAUCAGAUACCUCACCAUGAGAUACCUACCUGCACCAUGACGACCACCACCAAUGGCAAACCCCGCUUACUUAUUAUAGAUGAUUUGAGAAUUGCGAUUAAUAAGCAUGAUGACCUCGAGAAGUUACAGAAGAAAUUGAUGGAGGUUGCUGGUGGCCGUACCAAUACCGUGAUACUCAUUACCACAUGUAGCAACCAUGUCGCCAACAAUAUUGGUGCUACAUAUGUUUUGAAGUUGCAGGGGCUUAAUCAAAAGGAAUCUUGGUCAUUGUUUCAGCAGAUUUAUGGACCAAUUACUUCAACCAAAAAAGCACAAAGCACCAUCGAACCCGAAUCCAAACCCAAACCUGAGCAGAGCUUGGAGAUCAUGAGGGACUGUGGUGGGGUCCCCCUUUUGAUAGUGAUCGUUGCAAAGGUGAUGACGAAGCAUAGUGGUGUUGGUGGUGAAGAAUGGAUUCGGGAAGCACUAGAAAAGGUGAAGCUUAUCUAUUACGACGAUCUUCCCACUUAUCAGAAAUUAUGCUUUGCAUAUUGUUCAUUGUUUCCAGAAGAUUAUUUGAUUGAUGCAGAGAGAUUGAUUCAACUCUGGACUGGUGAAGGGUUUCUUAUCAAUCCAGAACAACAAUUUGGUCAUGCUUGUUUCGAAGACUUUGUUCCUUUGGUUUUCCAUCAAGCGGAAGAAGAAAGUGACCACCAGAAGUACUGCGGUGUUGUGAGGAACAACAUGAACAACUACUUAUAUAGAAUGAAUCGGUUAAUGCAUAAACUCGCAAGACAAGAAAUUGCUGGUGACGAAAACAUCACCGUGGAUGUGAUGGGGGAGAGAGUUCGUGGCGGGACGCUGCGAGUUUCGUUCAAUUUUGCUUUAGAUCUUUCAUGUGAGAUCCCUGAUUCGGUGUUUCAGACAGCAAAGAAACUAAGGACCAUUCUUUUGCCAUACAACAUUAACAACCCUCGUCUUCCGCACGAGGUAAAGAUGACAACGUCAACUUGUGAUAAGAUCUUCGACACCUUCAAGUACUCGCUACGCGUGUUGGAUCUACAUGACUUGGGGAUCAAGACAGUUCCAAGCUCUAUUGAGGAUGUGAAGUACUUGAGGUAUCUAGAUCUUUCACAUAACAACAUGGAGAAGCUUCCUAGUUGCAUAACAAAUCUUAUCCACUUGCAAACGUUGAAACUGUCUCGAUGUCAUGUCCUCAAAGAAUUGCCAAAAGACAUGGAUGAUUUGAGUUGCCUUAACCAUCUUGACUUAGAUGGAUGCUUGGAUCUAACUCAAAUGCCAAGUGGAAUAAGUAAGCUCACUUCUUUGCAAACAUUGUCACUUUUCGUAGCCAGCAAGAAACAAGUCACGGGAGGACUAAGAUCACUCACAGAUCUUAACAAUCUGAGGGGCCACUUGGAAAUUAUGCAUCUGGAACAAAUCAAGUUCUCUCCAUCAAAAGAAGCUGCUAAAGAUGAUUUUUUGAAAAAUAAACAACACCUUGAGUUCUUGACUCUAAGAUGGGAUCACGAUGAGGAGGACGAAGAAAGCAAUGUCGAGAAAGACAAGAAAUCGCUUGAUUGUCUCCAGCCACAUCCAAAUCUGCAAGUGCUAUUAGUUGUCGGGUACAACGGUCACACAUUGUCUAACUGGCUCGCUUCACUUCAAUGCCUUGUUAAGUUUACCUUGAAUGACUGUCCCAAAUGCGAAUUUCUCCCACCAAUGGAUGAGCUUCCACAUCUCAAGGUUCUCCAACUUCGGAGAUUGGACUCUUUGAAAUUUAUUGCAAAGAACAAUCAAGCUGAUACACCUAUAUUCUUUCCAUCCUUGAAGGAACUAACAAUCUCAGAUUGUCUUAAACUAAAAGGUUGGUGGGAAAAUGACAUAUGGGACAAUGAUAGACCAUCUUUCAGUUGCAUUUCAAAGCUAAAUAUCCAAUACUGUCCUCAAUUAGCUUGCAUGCUGCUCUAUCCCGGUCUUGAUGAUGAGCUCGUUCUGGUGGAGUCGAACGUAAGAUCAAUGAGGGAUACAAUGCAUUAUGCUGACAGUACUGAAAGCACUGAAACAUCUAGUUCACAAUCACAACCCUUCUCGAAAUUGAAGUCCAUGGUAAUUGAGCGCAUUGACCAAUCUCCACCAGAGAGUUGGCUUAAAAACUUCAUUUCACUUGAGGAACUUCACAUUAGAGAUUGUUUUAUUUUGGAGUCUCUACCACAAGGUUUCAAGUUUUUAAGCUCACUCAUAUCACUUUCUAUUGAAAGAUGUGAACAACUUGUUCUGGACAUUGACAAAUCCGCCGGAACUGAAUGGGAUGGUCUGACUGAAUGGGAGGGUCUGAAAAACCUUCAAUCUCUUACAUUAAGGAGUAUUCCAAAACUGAAGUCCCUUCCAUGGGGAGUUGAAAACGUGAAAACUUUGAAAGACUUGAGGAUUUAUGAUUGUCAUGGUUUAACUUCUUUACCAGAAAGUAUAGGUAACCUCACUUCACUUGAAAGACUGGUUCUUUCUGAAUGCAGAAAUUUAGAUUCUCUUCCCAAAGGAAUGGAAAUGCUUCAGUCUCUAAAUACUUUGAUUAUUAUGGAUUGCCCUUUGUUAUUGCCAAGGUGUCAACCAGACACAGGUGAUGAUUGGCCACAAAUUGCUCAUAUCAAAAACAAACUGGUGAAGGAAAAUCCUCAAGACUUCAUGGAUCACUUGUGAUCAAGAUUUGAAUUCUACUUUUACUGAUUCUUCUUUCAUGAUUUAUUUCUUGUAAUGUUUAAGUUAUUUAUUAGUGUUGAUUUUCAGAAAUUGCUAGACCACAGAAUUAGAGGAUGAAAUUAUAUUAGUAUGUUUACUAUUUUUGAAAACACCAUCCAAUAGCUGGUGAAAAAUACAUGUUGGUGAGAAAUGAUAUUUGUACAAUGGGAUAACUUUUAGACAACUAACUGAUAAGGUGAAAACCUUCUGCAAGUCUUAAAAGCUGUCAUAUAUGCCCACAAACUUUUUAAACCAAUCCUUCCUAAAUGAAGCCACUGUUUUCUCAAGAAUUUGUUUUAAUCGACGAUUUGACACUUCUACUUACAAUUACAUUAGACAACUCGUUGCAACAGAACAUGGGCACACAUUUGUCCUUCAUUACAUCUUUUUUUUUUCUUUUGUCUCUGUCUUUGUGAUUCCAAUAUUACAACACAAGGCAUUUUUUUAUCAAAUUAAGGCAGCCUUCCUACAUUCGUCUUCCAACUUUUAUCCUGAUAAGCCAAAUGUCAACCUUGUUAUUCGAAUAAAUUAGAAUGAAGAGUUUAAGGCUCAAAUUCAUAACAGUAUAUAGAGAAUAUAUGCAGGAGGUAAAGUUUCCAUAUAGCAUAUUAUUAAAGAAACUACACUCAAUAUUUUAUCAUAUAUAAAUGAGUAAUUUGUGAAGUACUGCAUUAAUACUAUUAGAUUAAUCCCAUAAAAAACAAAUUAAUACUAUAAGAAAAAUGCUUCUUCAAAAUAUAAAAAUUCUAUAAGAAUACUGAAACAUGACAGAAAAAAGACUUAAGUCAGAGUGAAACACUAUUGGAGACCUUAUGAGAUUAUAUUUUAUGGUUGUUGCUUGUAAUGCUAUCUAUUUUAUCUUUCUCCCCCCAUCUAUUAGAUUACCCUAUUUCUCAGACCUUGCACUGCACCUUGAAACACUACAAUUCGAGACCCAGAUUAUUCUAAAACUUUUAAUUCAAAGGCAGACGUUAACAACUCAUUGAUAAUGUUUAAGCUGAUGCUUUCUAUUAUACAGGUUGUUGAAAGAUUGGUGAUUAAAGGACAUUCAAGCUCUUGUUGUUGACAAAGGAACUAAAAUGGUCAAGGUUAGUGAAUAUGCCUUGUUAUGUGCUUGCCAUCUCAGAGGCACUUUGAUAAACUUGAAGCAUCAAGGAUGAAGAUCUCGUUGCAGGACCAAGUUGUGAAAGGACAGAAGUUGUGCUAUGGCACGUCUCCGUGGUUUAGGUUGUAAACUUUUGUCUUCGAUUAUUUUCUGCUACGUUGUUAUGUAUUAUAGCGGAUUGAAAAAUGUCUGUUAGUUCUAAGAACAUGUGUCGUAUCUUUAUUUCCGUUGUGAAUAGUGCAAGCAUACACUAAUAAUUAGUGAUUGUGAAUCAAUGACUAUUUAUCGACUAGUAAUCGACAUUUUAAGUAUAUUUUUCACAAUCUAGCUUAAUCACGUUUUGAUUAGAUACACUAAAAAAAUAAAAUUAUAAUAAUAUAAAUAGCUAGGAAGAAACAACGAAAUUGCUAGGAACUUGCGGCUAGAGAUUUACUUUAAAAUUAUUGCGGCCAUAUCCUAGGCAAAUAGUUAGGAAACUUAAAUUUUGAAUAGUAUUUUGCUAGGUAUCAGUUUGAAAAUAGCUAGGAAAUUCUAAAUAUUAAUUGCCAGUUAGCUAGGAAAUAUUUUGAUAGGUAAUUUGACGCCCAAUCCAUGCUACGACCAUCACAACUAAAUGCUAGGUAAAUAAGCAAAUAAGCAUAAAAAAAAAAAAUCAGAGUACACUUUAUAUCUACCAAUACUACAUGAAAAAAAAAAAACUAAAAAUAUGAAAACGUAGUAAACUAUCUCACUAGACAACAAUAAACUCAUAAUUAACAGCAAUCUACGAAACAAAAAAUACCAUAAGGAUAACAAAACAUAACAUUACCUUCAAACUGUGAAAGCCCAAUGACAGAUUUUUGUGUGCUAAGAGCAGUCUCUAUCCAAUGUCAAGAGUCAGAGUUUUUCACGAAAUUUUUAAUGCUUAGAAAGAAGAAUAAAUGAAGGAAAGUAGUAACGUAGAAAAAGAAAAUACAAAAAAAGGAUAUUACCUUAUACCCAAACAUGAAGAUAGUGUUGAUAAUAUAUAUAUUUUGGAGCGCCAGACAUAUAAAAAUCUGUGUUAAAUGUGACAAUACCUAAAGUAAAGACUAUGAGUAAGUCUUGGCAUUUUUAACCGUAUAAAGGCAUAUGAGUAAUGAGAAACCAAAGUAAACAUAUAUUUUUGAAACACAAUUACACAAAAUAAAAUGGAAGAGAAGGGAAUUUGUUGAUGAGAUCAAUAACUACAUUUUUCGGGGGAGAUCAAUAAUUACACGUUGUCGGUGAUUCUAGGUGAAUAAAUGACAUAUUUGAGUUUUAAUUCUCCAUAUUCAGAGAACUUGCACUACUACAAUAAUGAUAUUUAGUAACACAACGAUGGUAAUAUGAGUAAAAGUGUAACUAAAUAACCAUUAUUCGUAACAAUAGUUGAAAAAUAUUGUGACAGCGGGGACACUACUUUUAAACUAUACUAUGUAUAAAGAGAAUACAUGAUUUUGGGGUGGUUUAUUCACUUCCAAUAAUGCCCUUAAAUAAACUGGCUUAUAACAAUACGAUAUUGUUGGUGUCAUUAAAAAAGAUAAGAAUUUAUAUUAUAUAUUUUUAUAUUGUUGGUGUAAUUGAAAAAAAUACAUUUAGUUUGAUACAGUAUGAAAGUGAAAAAUAACUAUACCUAUAAUUUUAAUAAAAAAAUUCAUAAAAAUUACUGGUUAUAAUUUAUACGCAUUAUCUCAAUAAAAAAUGCAGACAAACUAGCACAAAGUACCCGUCUUAAUGCUAAUAUUUUAUAAUAUUUUUGGGUCAACAUAACACUAUCUUUUGGUUCAAGAUACUCCAUAUUUUACUUCACCAUGUCUCUUUCACUCGUUAUCUUUGCUUCUCAUUCCCUCAGAGAAAUUUCGUUCUCGACCAAUGAUUCAUAAAAUGUGACAGUGGUAACACACUAAUUUCAAUGGAAUCUACGCUGCGUAUUCUCUCACGAAUAUUCAAUCUCGCUGGUUCAUGGUUUUGUUCUCAAUCAUUGUUUAUGAUGGUUAUCUUGAAUUUGCGCUUGAAAAAUUUGAUCUUCAUCUCGAAUCUCGAUUUUCAAUUGAUUCACCUUUAUUAUUCAUCUUCGAUUCGGUUUCAAUGGAUUCAUGAUUUCAAGUUUAUUUUGGUUUCAAUUGAUUAGCUUAAAAUUUUGAUAAGGAUUCAUUGAUUUUUGCUAUCUUUGUUGUCGCUUGCCGAAAAAGCAUCGUGAAUCGUCGCGCUUGCGGUUGUUGGUACUUGCUUUUCAAAGUUCGUAUUUCAAUUUUAUACAAAACCUAUUGUUCGCCGUUUUAGAUUCGCCGUAACACAUCAAAAUUGUUACUGAAACUCUUUAGUAAAAUGGCCUUUACACAAUUAUUUUAAUGUUGCUAGAUAUAAUUAAUAACAUUUUUCAUGAUUUAGUUACAUUUGUCAAAUGUUACUAAAUCUCAAUUAUGAUCUAGUUUGAACACAAGAUUUGAGCAUAUAUGUAUGUCUCUUCUGGCUUUAUCCACGACAUGCACCAGGCCGUGCUCUGCCAUGACCAAAAUUUGUGCAUCCAUGGUUUGCCAUCUCCUCAAAAUUCUAGUGCAAACAUAGCUAAAGACAUAAGAAAAUUAGAUGAACGAGAUAAGAAUAUAUAAUGCGAUAAAAAAAGGGAAUGUAGACAAGUACAAAUUUAACGGCACAAAUAAGUACAUACCAAACAUACUAUAUUUCCAUAUUCCAUGCACCUUGACUGUAUGUUGUGAUCACAUUAUCUCGUUGGAUUCAUCGAUCCUACUAAGCCAUCAUACUUAUUCAAACAUAUACUUAGCUAGCAUAUUCAUCAAGUCAUAUUCCUUCCUUCAAAAAAGCAAGCUGCAUCAACAAUUAACAUACUAACAUAACAAUUAACGUACCAAUAUAUGUCGCUCUAAAAAAAAUUACUAACAUUUCUCUUAAAAAAGUGCUUUUAUACUAAUUGGUCAUCUUCAGAUAUCCUCUCUUCGCCUUGUUUAUUUUGCAAAUUUUACUAGAAAUAAAUCUGAAACUUUACUUAUAAAAGUUCAGUUUUUUCAAACCAGCCUAAACUAAUAUAAUCAAUUUAAAUUUCAUAAAUAUGUUUCUUUUUCUAAUAGGCCAGCAUGAUAGCUGCACCAAAAAUAUGGGAAUAUAUAAAAGCUUUUGUGAACAACAGUGGUCAAUGGUUCAUUACAAGACCUUUCUUUAUUUUUCCAUCGAUGGAACCUAUAAUAUUUGUGAUCGAACAAUGCAAAAACAGAUGUUACUGUUCAAAUUUUUCUGCAUAAAUUCUAUCAGAUUCCACAGUCUCUUACUGCAAUAUUUGAAUCAAAUUCCACAUGCAACUAGUUGAUAGUACUUAUGGUAUUCUAAAGCAUAUUAAUUGGUGUCUAACAAAAAUACCCUAGAGAAUUUAAUUAGCACUUGCAUGCUAUCAAAUACAUAUAUGACUUCAUGAAUGCAUAGUCAUAAUUAGUAAUAAAUAAUCAGUAAGUUUCAUUUGGCCAAUACUGUAGACUUGAAAAUCUCAAUGAAGAGUCGCAACUGUGAAGGUACAAGAACAAUCACCGGAAUACUUGCGAAUGACAUAGCUGUUAUUAUGACUCCUUCAUGUCCCUUUAAGAGCAUAGCAAGUGAAGCACAAAAGGAAACCAUCAUGGACACCACGGAGAAAAAAAGCAUAAUGAGAGCGAAAAGUAACUUAAGCGGCAAAGACUUUAGGAAAUCCUUUUCUGCAUAACGUGCCGUUAGAAUUCCAAUGAAGAGGAGGAUUGAAGUUGAGGAAGUGAAAAGAGAUAUUGCAUCUGCUAUUAUAAAAACAUUAAAUGUUUUGUCCUUCAAGAAGAGGGGAAUUCCACUGUCUUGAUUGUUUCCACCAGGGACAGUGAAAGCUGCAGCAAACAUGAUGGUUGUGAUGAGUGUAGCAACAAGUGUAAAUGAACCAGCUGUAUCUUUUGCCCAUUUUUCUCCAGCUUUCACUAGCUCCUUGUGACUUUCUGUAAAUAUCUCACGGGGCUUCUUAUCUUCUACGUUUUUGGCUUCCUUACACUUGGGGUGCACGAUUUUCUCCACUUCCUGCAAUCAUCCAUUUCAUAAAAUGAAGGAAAUUAAAUCCUAUGUAGUUAGUUUUAUGAUGCAGCCAGCUCCUGAAAUCCAUUUUGCUAUAAUUAAGAAUAUAUUUUUGGAUAAAUAGCUUAACUAACGUUUAUAACAUAAGUGUGUAUCAUAUAGGCACUUUGUAUAAACUAUGGUCAUGUCUAUAUAUAAACAAUUUAUUUUGCAAUUCAUAACAUAAACGCUUAUCAUGAUAAGUGUUUAUGUAUAAACCAUUUUUAUAACAAAAGAUAAAAUAAAGUUAAAUUGUUUUCGUUGAAGUUAUAACCUAUUUUUAUAGGUUAAACUAGAGAGCUUAAAGAAAUAAGGUGAAAACGGCUUGUGAUAUUUCAUUGGUUGUUUCUAUUAAUUUUCUCAAAUAUUACUCUCACUACUUAUGUCAAUAAAUAAGCUAAAAUAAGUCAAUCUAAACAUAUCAUAUUUCUAUAAUACAAGAUAAAAGCAAGUCAUACGGUUUUCACAAUAAACUGUUUUCAUAAGAAAUUUCUAAGACACAUGUCAUAAACCGUUUCUACAAGCUCUCUCAAACUGUCUCAAAAACAGUUAUAUAAAUAGAUAAAUUCAAACAAGUCAAUACAAGCAGCCAAGGGAGGAUCUUGCCCAUUUGAGUAGGUUCAGAUGACCCCUGUGAACUAAAAAUAAGAAAGCAUGUAUACUCCUAUUUAUUUUGCAUUUUGAACCUUAUGAUAUUAAUUUUGCACCAAUAUAGCUAAGAAAUUCAAGAACUCAAAAGUUUGAAACUCUAAACUAAGGUCAUAGAUACGCUACUGCAAGCAGAUCUUCUAUAUCACCUAUUAAAGCACGUAUAAGACUCAAACUACCCUAUUUUUGUGUGCAUGUGAAAAUAUAUACUAUGAGACAUGUAUUACUUACCUGAAACCAUAAAAUCUCUCUUUGCAUUUGGAGAGCAGGACCAGAUCUACGGUGAAGAUCAAAGGAGGGCCCUAAAUUUCCAGCAAGAUGUAAGAGGGUAUUAUCAAAUGCAUCUACACGACAUCUAACAAUUUCCUUUCGUCCAUUUACACUUGCAUCAUGUAUGAGUUGGAAGACUUCUUUUCUACGGUUCAAAAUUGCAUGUGAAAAUAUGCCUCUUUUAUUUUUAUCAAUAGACCAUAAGAGGUCAGGGUUAGCUUUUUUCAUUGCAACUAUGAACUCAAUAUUUCCAUGCUUAGCUGCUU